rnacentral:rRNA from 1 species
AUUGAACGCUGGCGGCAGGCCUAACACAUGCAAGUCGAACGCUUCGCGGCCUUGUGUGUUAUUUCUGGGAAACUCCCUGAUGGAGGUUGAUAACUCCUGGAAACGGUAGCUAAUCCCGCAUACCAUCCUCUGUUCCCCGAUGGGAUUAGCUAGUAGGUGGGGUAAAGGCUCACCUAGGCGACGAUCCCUAGCUGGUCUGAGAGGAGGACCAGCCACACUGGAACUGAGACACGGUCCAGACUCCUAAGGGAGGCAGAAGUGGGGAAGAUUGCACAAUGGGCGCAAGGCUGAUGCAGCCAGGCCGCGGGGAUGAAGAAGGCCUUCGGGUUGUAAAGUACUUUCAGCGGGGAGGCGGUAACCGAAGAAGAAGAAACGGCUAACUCCGUGCCAGCAGCCGCGGUAAUAG